AGCGGAGGAAAAGAAACUAACAAGGAUUCCCCUAGUAACUGCGAGUGAAGCGGGAAAAGCUCAAAUUUAAAAUCUGGUGGUCUUUGGCCAUCCGAGUUGUAAUCUAGAGAAGUGUUACCCGCGUCGGACCGUGUAUAAGUCUCCUGGAAUGGAGCGUCAUAGAGGGUGAGAAUCCCGUCUUUGACACGGACUCCCGAGGCUUUGUGGUGCGCUCUCAACGAGUCGAGUUGUUUGGGAAUGCAGCUCAAAAUGGGUGGUAAAUUCCAUCUAAAGCUAAAUAUUGGCGAGAGACCGAUAGCGAACAAGUACCGUGAGGGAAAGAUGAAAAGAACUUUGGAAAGAGAGUUAAACAGUACGUGAAAUUGCUGAAAGGGAAACGCUUGAAGUCAGUCGCGUUGGCCGGAAAUCAGCCUUGCUUUUGCUUGGUGUACUUUCUGGUUGACGGGCCAGCAUCAGUUUUGACCGAUGGAAAAAGUGCAGGGGAAUGUGGCAUCUUCGGAUGUGUUAUAGCCCUUGUUCGUAUACAUCGGUUGGGACUGAGGAACUCAGCACGCCGAAAGGCCGGGUCUUUGACCACGUUCGUGCAUUAGGAUGCUGGCAUAAUGGCUUUAAUCGACCCGUCUUGAAACACGGACCAAGGAGUCUAACAUGCCUGCGAGUGUUUGGGUGGAAAACCCGGACGCGCAAUGAAAGUGAAAGUUGAGAUCCCUGUCAUGGGGAGCAUCGACGCCCGGACCAGAAGUUCUCUGACGGCCCUGCGGUAGAGCAUGUAUGUUGGGACCCGAAAGA
rnacentral:rRNA from 1 species